UCUGAGGAAAACUAGGAUUUCCUAAGAAAAUGGCGCCUGAUAUUGAAAAAUCGAGCUCCAAAGGACAGGCAUGGUUUUGUACUACGGGGUUGCCUAGCGACAUUGUCAUCAAAGUCGAAAACAUGACUUUCCAUCUCCAUAAGUUUCCUCUAAUAUCGAAAAUUAGAAAGCUUCAUCAGCUGGUUACUGAGCAAGCAAACAAUCCUAGUAGAAGAUGACGAAGUUCUGCUGCAGAACUAGAGCUUCAAGUAUUAGGAGAAGGAGAGGAGGAUGGAGAAAGAGAUGAUAUCUUAGAGGAGCCCUGUGAGAUCUCUAUUCCAGAAUUUCCGGGUGGUUCUCAGGCAUUCGAGACCGCGACAAAGUUCUGCUAUGGAGUGAAGAUCGACCUCAUAGCUUCCGAUGUAGCUCCCCUUCGUUGUGCCGGAGAGUAUCUCGAAAUGAUGGAAGAGUACUUUGGAAAAUAACCUCAUCUCCAAAACUGAAAGUUUCUUAACCCAAUCAAUUCUCAGAAACAUCGAAGAAUCCAUUAAGACCUUGAAAUCCUGUGAAGCAC